rnacentral:tmRNA from 1 species
UGAAGUGAACAGCCUGUCUCUGGGCGGUUCAUGGAGGGAAUGUUAAAACAGUGACUAUGAUGGUAGAGACCACGAUUUAUGGGCUUUCGGACAGGGGUUCGAUUCCCCUCACCUCCAUUA